rnacentral:rRNA from 1 species
UACGUAGGGUGCGAGCGUUAAUCGGAAUUACUGGGCGUAAAGCGUGCGCAGGCGGUUGGGUAAGUACGGUGUGAAAUCCCCGGGCUCAACCUGGGAACUGCAUUUGUGACUGCACAGCUGGAGUGCGGCAGAGGGGGAUGGAAUUCCGCGUGUAGCAGUGAAAUGCGUAGAUAUGCGGAGGAACACCGAUGGCGAAGGCAAUCCCCUGGGCCUGCACUGACGCUCAUGCACGAAAGCGUGGGGAGCAAACAGG